GACGGGAGGAUGCAAGCGUUAUCCGGAAUGAUUGGGCGUAAAGCGUCCGCAGGUGGCAGUUCAAGUCUGCUGUCAAAGACCGGGGCUUAACUUCGGAAAGGCAGUGGAAACUGAACAGCUAGAGUAUGGUAGGGGCAGAGGGAAUUCCUGGUGUAGCGGUGAAAUGCGUAGAGAUCAGGAAGAACAUCGGUGGCGAAGGCGCUCUGCUGGACCAUAACUGACACUCAGGGACGAAAGCUAGGGGAGCGAAUGGG
rnacentral:rRNA from 1 species